ACGGAAGGCAGCAGUGAGGAAUAUUGGUCAAUGGGCGAGAGCCUGAACCAGCCAAGUAGCGUGCAGGAAGAAUGUCCUAUGGAUUGUAAACUGCUUUUAUACGGGAAUAAAACGCUCCACGUGUGGAGCCUUGCAUGUACCGUAUGAAUAAGGAUCGGCUAACUCCGUGCCAGCAGCCGCGGUAAUACGGAGGAUCCGAGCGUUAUCCGGAUUUAUUGGGUUUAAAGGGAGCGCAGGUGGGCUGUUAAGUCAGUUGUGAAAGUUCGUGGCUCAACCACGGAAUUGCAGUUGAAACUGUCAGUCUUGAGUGCGGCAGAGGCAGGCGGAAUUCAUGGUGUAGCGGUGAAAUGCUUAGAUAUCAUGAAGAACCCCGAUUGCGAAGGCAGCUUGCUGGGCCGUAACUGACACUCAUGCUCGAAAGUGCGGGUAUCAAACAGGAUUAGAUACCCUGGUA
rnacentral:rRNA from 1 species